ACUGAGUUGCCCAAAUAUAAAUACCCCCAGGGAAUACCUUGAGUGUAAGAAUUAUGCUGUUUGUUGAUUAUUUCAGUAAGCAAGUAUUGAAUGCCUUACUGCAAGGCAGACAGGGGAUAGAGUGGACAGACAGACAAGGUCCCUACCCACAUGGAGCAUCCAUACGGCUCAAAGGCAACACAGCAUCAAGGCAAAGGAUGGUAAGAAGCACAUGCCUUAGCAGAGCACAGGCCACACCCCGUACAGGAGACUGGGUUAGACUGGAAUCUGGAGGUUGAGUGAGAGCUCCCUCAGUACAGUGAGCUCCUUGGUGGACAUGCGCAGAGGAUUUCAACCAGAGAGCCGGAAGUUCAAGGAACUGAAAGAAUCUGCGUGUGGACGCUUAAAGUGUGGAGCCUAAAGGGAAGAAGGUGGAGAUUGUCACAGAGCAGAGACCGCUUGGACCAAACUCUUCUUGGAACCAAAGCAACAAGUCUUCAAAGAAGACACUACACUCUUCAGACUUGGAUUGUCAUCUGGGGAUGUUUGGAGAUCCAAGACUCGGCAAACCCCAAGCAAAAGAAACAUGAAGAAAAUUACACCAAAGCACACCAUAAUCAAAUUGCUCAAAACCAGUGAUAAAGAGAAAAUUCCAAAGCAGUCAGAACAAAAAGACACAUUGUGUCCAAGGAAACAAAGAUAAGGCUGACAGCUGAUUUCUCGUCAGGAACAAUGUAAGUCAGAAGACAAUGGAGCAGGUGGAAAUCUAUCUACACAAAGGAACGAAGAUGCUUGGAAGUAGCAACUACAUGGAUAAAUAUAAAAGAUUUUCUUUUGCUUCUUAUGGAAAUAUCUUUAAAAGAUAGUUGACUGUUUAAGUUUUACUGGCUAGGACACUAAGUAAAGAAUCAUCUGCACUCACAAGUUGGCCUCAUUCAAAAGCCAUGUUUUCAUUACCACUUUUAAGAGCAAAGAUGGUUUGUAUUUCUGUUGCUGAAAGUGUUCCAAAGUCUGAAGGCACAGAUUGAGACAAAAAGUGAUAGGCUCAGAUGGAAGAAAAUGAAAAGUUUGUAUAAGACCAAAGAAAUCUUCCCACUGAGAGUAUUUAUUAACUUUACAGCUCUUCCUCUUAAUAAUUGAGUUUACACUGAAAGUGUCUAUUUAAGAAAAAUUAUUUCAGUGACGAUAAAUUCAAAUUUUCAAAAAAUAAUAUGCUAAAGUCAAAAGUAUGUUUCCAGUAGCAUUAUUAGUCUAUAGAGCCUGUAUGCACUCAAAUGACAACUUUGAUGGCACAAAAUGGAAGUGUCUCAUAGAGUUUCUAUGUUUUCCCGUAAUCUGUAUAAAAUUGCAACAUUCAAAAACUAACUGCAAUGUUCUUUAAAAUAAAUGCUUUGCAUUUAAAAAAAAGAGUAUUAAUAAUUUUGCUUUACAACAGCAUUCAAGUUUAGAAGACUUUAUACCCUCAC
rnacentral:lncRNA from 1 species